rnacentral:lncRNA from 1 species
CGCCCCCAUUGGACAUUUUCAAAAAUACCUUUUCAGGCAAUCAUGACAAAAAGAUGUGGAGAAUCAUUUCUCUAAAGAUCAAAUCAUUUUAUUUUUCGAUCAAAUAAUUAAUUUUGAUAUUCUCGAGGCUCGGCGCAUCUAUUUCAAGUGACGACAAUAUCAGUCCGAAAAACUCUGAGAUAAAAUAUGGAGAUAAGAUCUCCUGAUCGGUGAAAAAUCGGAUCAAAAAG